GGAGAAUCCUUCGGCGGAGAAGAGCGUUAAAAGCAUACUGGCUUGCUUGAAGGCGUUGGAUCCUAAAUGGAGGGCUCUGAAACCGGCUUGGCGGAGCCGAGACCUCCACUUGACGAGUGGCUCAUGGCGCUCGACUCGAGCCGACCCUUCACAGCUCACCACGUUGCAAAUUUCUCUCUGUAGAUACAUCUCUGCCAAGGCCUUCUCCGGCAUCAUACAGCAAGCUUCAAGCGAAUCAAACAUGGUGGAAUAGUAAAACAG
rnacentral:misc_RNA from 1 species